UGGGGAAUUUUCCGCAAUGGGCGAAAGCCUGACGGAGCAAUACCGCGUGAGGGAGGAAGGCUUUUGGGUUGUAAACCUCUUUUCUCAAGGAAGAAGUUCUGACGGUACUUGAGGAAUCAGCAUCGGCUAACUCCGUGCCAGCAGCCGCGGUAAUACGGAGGAUGCAAGCGUUAUCCGGAAUUAUUGGGCGUAAAGCGUCCGUAGGCGGUUAAUUAAGUCAGUUGUUAAAGACUGCAGCUCAACUGUGGGAGAGCAACUGAAACUGAUUAACUAGAGUGCGAUAGGGGUAGAGGGAAUUCCCAGUGUAGCGGUGAAAUGCGUAGAUAUUGGGAAGAACACCAGUGGCGAAGGCGCUCUACUGGGUCGCAACUGACGCUGAGGGACGAAAGCUAGGGGAGCGAAAGGGAUUAGAUACCCCCGUAGUCC
rnacentral:rRNA from 1 species